UGGGGAAUAUUGGACAAUGGGCGAAAGCCUGAUCCAGCCAUGCCGCGUGUGUGAAGAAGGUCUGCGGAUUGUAAAGCACUUUAAGUUGGCAGGAAGGGCAGUAAGCGAAUACCUUGCUGUUUUGACGUUACCGACAGAAUAAGCACCGGCUAACUCUGUGCCAGCAGCCGCGGUAAUACAGAGGGUGCAAGCGUUAAUCGGAAUUACUGGGCGUAAAGCGCGCGUAGGUGGUUCGUUAAGUUGAAUGUGAAAGCCCCGGGCUCAACCUGGGAACUGCAUCCAAAACUGGCGAGCUAGAGUAGGGCAGAGGGUGGUGGAAUUUCCUGUGUAGCGGUGAAAUGCGUAGAUAUAGGAAGGAACACCAGUGGCGAAGGCGACCACCUGGGCUCAUACUGACACUGAGGUGCGAAAGCGUGGGGAGCAAACAGG
rnacentral:rRNA from 1 species